AUGCUGGCCAGAACUAUGGCUCCCAUGGCCUCGUGGCGGGCUCCGCGGCCCGGCGCAGGAAGGCAUACUGCGGCCGCUUCCUGGCUGGUGCGGACGCGGCGGCGCUUAGCUCUGCCGGGCGAGCCGGUCGGCGGAGAGGGCAGGCCGGCGGCACCGACGUCGUCUACAUCCCAUCGACGAAGGGAAGCUCCAUGGCAUCUUCCAAGCAAAGAACAAAAAGUCACAGCUCCUGCUCGUGGUCCACUUGGCCACAAGACCAAACCUACCCACCAUCCAAGCCCAAAUGCUAGCCAAAUCAGUGCAAUAAGUAGUAAAAUGUUCUACGACCACGGAGCGAGGGCAAAUCCUGCAACAGCUAGUCACCUAAUUUAG
rnacentral:rRNA from 1 species